GCCUUCCCUUAGACAUCCGGUAGAGCAUGAGACUCUUAAUCUCAGGGUUGUGGGUUUGAGCCCCACAUUGGAUG